CACACACACACACACACAUAUUAAACCAUCACCCCACCUUCCAUCCCCUUCUAAAACAGAAAAUAAAAGAAGCAUGACCAAAAGAAGAGAAGAAGAAAAAGAAAAUAAAGGAAAAAGUGACAGGAGAAAAGAAGAAAUUGGCAUGCAUAAAUGCAAGAUUACAACAAGUAGUCAUUUUUUGAAUGAAUAUUAUAUUAAACAUUUUCCUUAACUCAAUUACAAAACAGAGAAUCUGCCUGUAUAGGAUCACAAUUGGUAUUUGUUGGCAUAACACCAAUUAGUUCAGGAAAGUAAGGAUAAAUAAAGUAACCAUAACUGAGAAUUUGCUAAAAGUGUGAAUUUUCAUAUAUGCUAUAGUAUGUAGAUAGAGGUGCAAAGUAACCAAACCUAGCCAUGCUCAAACUUGGUUUCAUCUCAAUCAAACUUCCAAAAGCUCAGUUCAAUUUUUUGUUGAGCACCAAAACUAGAAGAAUUAUAUGAUAUGGACACAGUAAAUGCCUAUUUCUUAGAGCACAAAAUUCAGGGGAGAGGAAUGAUUGAAUACAAGGCUAGAGACUUCAAACUCCUCUUUUCUUUUUUCUUUUACCACAAAUAUCUUUUUCCCCUUAUCCAAAUUUUCUUGGUCAACUAUCUAAUUAUCAUCAUUAAUUUAUUUCAUUCUAACAAGCCAUACUAGGCACAAGACAUACCAUCACAGUAAUCUUACAGUUUACUUCAACAAGAGACCUUGCCAAAAAAAUAAUGCUUUAGAAGAUGCAAACUUAUUGCUAAUUAACUUUGAUAAACUUUUAAUUAGAAAAAUGAACAAAAGGUCCAAAAAAAAUAACGAAUAUAAAUGUUACAUAUAAGAGACUAGUAGUAGUUAAGAAGGGAGUUAUAUUUUGUUUAGAUAUCUGGAAGUAGUUACAGAUCUGUUAGUGGAGAAGGAGAUUGGCGGGAACAGUUAAUUCUAGGUAGUUUUUGGAAGAAACUGGCCUAUAAAAGAGCUGGAAUAGCUCCAGGGUUGUUAUUCUUAAAUUCUAAUCAAUAAAG
rnacentral:misc_RNA from 1 species